AGGACUUCAUGAUCAGGCAGUUGGUUUUCCCAGGGUGAGGCUCAUCCCCUGCACUCCGGGUGUGCUGACCCCUGCAAUUUCCCCAAAUGCAGCAAACUCGA
rnacentral:snRNA from 9 species